AGGAGUGUAGCUCAAUUGGUAGAGCACCGGUCUCCAAAACCGGGGGUCGCAGGUUCGAGCCCUGCCACUCCUGCCA
rnacentral:tRNA from 231 species